rnacentral:rRNA from 1 species
AGAAUCAACGCUGGCGGCGUGCCUAACACAUGCAAGUCGAACGAGGAAGUGGAGCAAUCCAUGAGUACAGUGGCGCACGGGUGAGUAACACGUGACUAACCUACCCUUGAGUGGGGAAUAACCUGGAGAAAUCUAGGCUAAUACCGCAUAAUACCUUCGGGUCAAAGGAGCAAUUCGCUUAAGGAGGGGGUCGCGGCCGAUUAGUUAGUUGGCGGGGUAAUGGCCCACCAAGACUAUGAUCGGUA